ensembl:lncRNA
GCCAACUAUUGACAACUUGAAGCUUAGUUUUUGGUAUGUUGUUGUUGAUUUGUUCUUUUUUUGUUUUGAUUUGAUUUUUGUUCAUUGAAAUUUUCUCAAGAGAGAUAAAAAUGUAAAUAUUUAAAUAUUUAGGUAAAAUUAUUUAACUGUUAAAGAAUAAUGACUCAAAUGGAGAAGGUCGUGGUGGGAGUUGAUUGAGGUUUUUUAUUUGUCUUUUGUAAUAUUCUGAGUGACAGCAACACUAGUUCACUAGCUGUUCUGUGUAAAUGUGUAAUUAUAAAAAAAUGCUGUUUUACUUUUUUUUUUAAGUACUGUACCUCCAGUAGUCUGCCUCAUACAAACGAUCCACCCUUGAUCUUUGACCCCUCCCCCACUGACCACAUCUCGCCACAUGGUGCUGCAUACUAUUUGCCCGACUUAUGACUUGAACAGUCAUUGGAAUACAGAAACACGGCACGCAAUGUCAUCUUCAGUCCAAGCAGCGCAAAGACCACUUCAAAACGGCAUACAAUCCAUCUUCCUUUAACUAUAGCCAGCCAAUCAGGAAUCAAACCAGGAAACUGGUUUUGGUGUGGGGUUGUACAUCGUGAGGGUUUGCACUUGUUAUCCCAGACCAAGCUAUUGGAUCACGUCUUUGGCGGCAUCUCAUUCACGCUCUUCCGGAAUCUUCCAAGUAGUAGUUGGUAGGAGGCGUCCGGGGAAUGGUACUUGGACACGGCUAGGAGAGAGGCCUGUUCUAUGUCACAGGUGUUAGACUAUCAGGUGCGUGGUGACUUCCCCAGUUGUUUGAAUGUUUUUAUUACUGUAUAAUUAUAAUUGAUAUUAUAUUCAAGAAAAUCUCUAGUAAGGUCGUACUCAAAAAGCUGAGAUCCGCAGGCAUUUCGAUUUUUACUGAUCAUUCCUUGUUUGACGCAAGACAUCUAUCGGCUAAUCAAGCUUAGGUUAUACUGGACUAGGUCUUUCAGUCGCCCCUAUCCCCUCCCUCGCCCAUGUAUUUUGUCCCAUACAACUGCAUGACCUAGUUUCCACACUAUGUAUUUCUGGGUUGCGGUUCAUGUUUGCAAUCGGCGGUAGGAAGUGAGUGCUUGAAUGCUACACAUCGUUUUUCCCAUGUUUGUGUACAUUUCUAUGUAGUUUGUGGAACUGGGUGAGCAGGUGCUAUUCACGCUACACCUGGAGUUCACAGUGGAACAAAUGCAUAAGAGAAACAGAUUUGACUAUCUGCGGACGAUAUUGACCGGUUUCACGGCAUCACGCGGCGGAGUGGGGGGGCUCUAGAUGUCCCAUCCUCGAUAAGUCCUCGAUAAGACCUCGCUCCGAGCGAUACUUUUAACACCCUCAGCGUUUCUUUCUGAUCUUUUCACUGCAACAACGCUAGGAAAUUCUAUCAAACGAUAUAUAUAAUUAUAGAGAGAUUUUAAGGCUCUGUACUUGGUACAGAACCUUUUGUACUUGGUUCUGCAGCAGUACUGGAGGCUGGUGACAUUUUUCUCUGUGUGUGUGUGUGUGUGUGUGUUUUCCAAAUCCCUUCUGCGUGCGUGCGCGUGUGUGUGAGAGUGAUGAUAGCACCGUUAGUUUUCCAUAUCUCUCCUGAGUCACUCACUUCCUUUUUAGUUGAUCAACACUUCAAUUUUAUGUCAGUCACACACACACACACACACACACACACACACACACGCACACACACACAAAAACACACAAAGACACUAUAUACACAACACUCAAAACUUCGGAGCUAUUCGUUUUCAUGGAGAAAUUUGUCCACGUUCCAAAAUGUGGAUGGUAACUUUGAGCUACGAUGCAAAAUAAAAGCAAAGCAACACAAAUGGCAGCUACAUUCCUGUAUGAGUUUUAAGCUUCUUCUGGGUUUCUUUUUCCAUGUCAAGUAUGCAGUAUGUAAAAAAAAAAGAAAAAAAAAAAGUGUUUUUGUUAAGUCUCUCUCUUUGUAGCUGUAUGGUGUAUUAUGUGAAUACAUAGUGUAUGUGGUUUUAAUCCCACAAUAUUGUUUUACGUUUCACAAUAUUAACAUAAUAAAACCAUGGAAGUGAA